GAUGAAAACGUAGCGAAAUGCGAUAAGUAAUGUGAAUUGCAGAAUUCAGUGAAUCAUCGAAUCUUUGAACGCACAUUGCGCCCGCUGGUAUUCCGGCGGGCAUGCCUGUUCGAGCGUCAUUUCAACCCUCAAGCUCUCCGGAGUUUGGUGUUGGGGCGCCUGGGGCUUUUCGACCUCAGGGCCCUCAAGUCCAUCGGCGGGACCGCCAGGACACUGAGCGCAGUAGUAUUAUUUCGCUCGGUAGGAUCUUCCACGGCGGGUCGAUCUGGCCGCUAAACCCCCCAAUUCUCACCAAAGGUUGACCUCGGAUCAGGUAGGAAUACCCGCUGAACUUAAGCAUAUCAAUAAGCGGAGGA
rnacentral:misc_RNA from 1 species